AGCAGUAGCCGCGGUAAUACGAGGGGGGCAAGCGUUGUUCGGAAUUAUUGGGCGUAAAGGGCGCGUAGGCGGUUUGACAAGUCUGAUGUGAAAUCUCUGGGCUCAACCCAGAGUCUGCAUCGGAAACUGUCGAGCUUGAGUAUGGGAGAGGUGAGUGGAAUUUCCGGUGUAGCGGUGAAAUGCGUAGAUAUCGGAAGGAACACCUGUGGCGAAAGCGGCUCACUGGACCAUUACUGACGCUGAGGCGCGAAAGCUAGGGGAGCAAACAGGAUUAGAUACCCCAGUAGUCCCUGUCUCUUAUAC
rnacentral:rRNA from 1 species